UUUCCCCUGAAAUGUCCGUGAUUGUAAUUUAGCCUUUGCCCUAACGCUUUUAAAAAAGGGAGUCCACACUUUUACCGGUGUGCUAAGUUCCAAUUUAUAUGGAAAAGCCUAAAGGUAAUACUGGACACCCACCUUGAGACACAAUGGUUCAAAGCCAAAAAAUCAACACGACAAUUUUGGGGGUAAU
rnacentral:other from 1 species